rnacentral:rRNA from 1 species
UACGGAGGAUGCGAGCGUUAUCCGGAUUUGUUGGGUUUAAAGGGUGCGUAGGCGGGCUUUUAAGUCAGCGGUAAAAAUUCGGGGCUCAACCCCGUCCGGCCGUUGAAACUGGGGGUCUUGAGUGGGCUAGAAGAAGGCGGAAUGCGUGGUGUAGCGGUGAAAUGCAUAGAUAUCACGCAGAACCCCGAUUGCGAAGGCAGCCUUCCGGCGCCCUACUGACGCUGAGGCACGAAAGUGCGGGGAUCGAACAGG